GAUCAUGGCUCAGGAUGAACGCUAGCUACAGGCUUAACACAUGCAAGUCGCGGGGCAGCAUUCCUUAGCUUGCUAAGGAAGAUGGCGACCGGCGCACGGGUGAGUAACGCGUAUCCAACCUUCCCAUGUCCACGGGAUAGCCCGUCGAAAGGCGGAUUAAUACCGUAUGAGGUCACAUGCGGGCAUCUAAGUGUGACGAAAGGUUUAGCGGACAUGGAUGGGGAUGCGUCCGAUUAGCUUGUUGGCGGGGUAACGGCCCACCAAGGCGACGAUCGGUAGGGGUUCUGAGAGGAAGGUCCCCCACAUUGGAACUGAGACACGGUCCAAACUCCUACGGGAGGCAGCAGUGAGGAAUAUUGGUCAAUGGGCGGAAGCCUGAACCAGCCAAGUAGCGUGCAGGAUGACGGCCCUAUGGGUUGUAAACUGCUUUUAUGCGGGGAUAAAGUGUGGGACGUGUCCCAUAUUGCAGGUACCGCAUGAAUAAGGACCGGCUAAUUCCGUG
rnacentral:rRNA from 1 species